UACGGGGGGAGCAAGCGUUGUUCGGAUUUACUGGGCGUAAAGGGCGCGUAGGCGGCGCAACAAGUCACUUGUGAAAUCUCCGGGCUUAACCCGGAGCGGCCAAGUGAUACUGUCGUGCUAGAGUGCGGAAGGGGCAACUGGAAUUCUCGGUGUAGCGGUGAAAUGCGUAGAUAUCGAGAGGAACACCUGCGGCGAAGGCGGGUUGCUGGGCCGACACUGACGCUGAGGCGCGAAAGCCAGGGGAGCGAACGGG
rnacentral:rRNA from 1 species